rnacentral:tRNA from 2 species
GGGAGAUUAGCUUAAUAGGGAGAGCGAAUAUCUUACACAUAUUUGGAGGUUGUUCGAAUCAACCAUUUCCCA